rnacentral:lncRNA from 1 species
UUAAACCUCUUUUCUUCAUAAAUUACCCAGUCUCAGGUAGUUACUCAUAGCAGUGGGAGAAUAGACUAAUACAAUAAGGCUAUCAUUGUCAUAGACAGUGAUUUCUCUGAUAGAUCUAGGCAAGGUAAAUUGAAAACCUUCUGGAAAGGAUUCAACAUUCUAGAAGCCAUUGACAACGUUUAUGAUUCAUGGAAGAAGCUGAUUCUAAGCCUUAUGGAUUACUUGGUGGGGUUUGAAGACGUCAGUGGAGGAACUUCCUGCAAAUGUGGUGGAAACAGGAAGAGAGCUAGAAUUAGAAGUGGAGCCUGAAGACAAGACUGAAUUGCUGCAAUCUCAUGUCAAACUUAAAGGAUGAGGAGUUGCUUCUUACGGAUGAGCAAAGAAACUAGUUUCUUGAGAUAGAAUCUAUUCCUUGUGAAUACUGUUGAAAUGACAACAAAGGAUUUGGAAUAUUCCAUAUACUUACGUGAUAAGGCAGAAGCAGUGUUUGAGGGAAUUGACUACAAUUUUAAAAGAUGUUUUCUUAUAGAAACCGCCACAGCCACCCCAGCCUUCAGCAACCACCACCCUUAUCAGUCAGCUGCUAUCAACAUCGAGGCAAGAUCCUUCACCAGAAAAAUGAAUGCAACUCACUAAAGGCUCAGAUAAUUGUUAGCCUAUUUUAGUAAUAAAAUAUUUUUAAUAAGGUA